GAUGAACGCUGGCGGCGUGCCUAAUACAUGCCAGUCGAGCGAACGGACGAGAAGCUUGCUUCUCUGAUGUUAGCGGCGGACGGGUGAGUAACACGUGGAUAACCUACCUAUAAGACUGGGAUAACUUCGGGAAACCGGAGCUAAUACCGGAUAAUAUUUUGAACCGCAUGGUUCAAAAGUGAAAGACGGUCUUGCUGUCACUUAUAGAUGGAUCCGCGCUGCAUUAGCUAGUUGGUAAGGUAACGGCUUACCAAGGCAACGAUGCAUAGCCGACCUGAGAGGGUGAUCGGCCACGCUGGAACUGAGACACGGUCCAGACUCCUACGGGAGGCAGCAGUAGGGAACCUUCCGCAAUGGGCGAAAGCCUGACGGAGCAACGCCGCGUGAGUGAUGAAGGUCUUCGGAUCGUAAAACUCUGUUAUUAGGGAAGAACAUAUGUGUAAGUAACUGUGCACAUCUUGACGGUACCUAAUCAGAAAGCCACGGCUAACUACGUG
rnacentral:rRNA from 1 species